rnacentral:misc_RNA from 1 species
UCAUCAGCACCCCAAUUGCCUCUACCACAUUCAGGAUGAAGAACACCAAAUGAUUACCCGGAAGAAAUGCAUCAUUUUGACGUUUUUCUGCCAAAGAAAAUAGGGCACCACCUCCAGCUGGACCAGCUGCUUUAAAAAGAGACAUUGUUGUCAUAGCAAUGCCAUUAGCAGCGCCUCUUUGGUGUUGAUCCACAGCUCUAUUUUGCAGAAGGAACAAGC